rnacentral:rRNA from 1 species
CUCUUCGGGGAUGAUUAAACCGGCGCACGGGUGAGUAACACGUGAGUGACCUGCCUUUUAGACUGGAACAACUUACCGAAAGGUGAGCUAAUGCCGGAUGAGUUAUAUAAGUGCAUGUUUAUAUAGGAAAAGUUGGGGAGACCUGACGCUGAAAGAUGGACUCGCGUCCCAUUAGCUAGUUGGUAGGGUAAUGGCCUACCAAGGCGACGAUGGGUAGCCGGCCUGAGAGGGUGGCCGGCCACACUGGGACUGAGACACGGCCCAGACUCCUACGGGAGGCAGCAGUGGGGAAUUUUGCGCAAUGCUCGUAAGAGUGACGCAGCGACGCCGCGUGAAUGACGAAGGCCUUCGGGUCGUAAAGUUCUUUCGACAGGGAAGAAAAUGCCUAUAAGUAACUGUGUAUGUAUUGACGGUACCUGUAUAAGCAGCCCCGGCUAACUCCGUGCCAGCAGCCGCGGUAAUACGGAGGGGGCGAGCGUUGUUCGGAGUGACUGGGCGUAAAGAGCACGUAGGCGGUGUUGUAAGUCAUUAGUCAAAGACUAGAGCUCAACUUUAGUAAGGCUAGUGAUACUAUAAUACUAGAGUAUCAGAGAGGAUUGCAGAAUUCCUGGUGUAGCGGUGAAAUGCGUAGAUAUCAGGAGGAAUACCGUUAGCGAAGGCGGCAAUCUGGCUGGAAACUGACGCUGAGGUGCGAAAGCGUGGGUAGCAAACAGGAUUAGAUACCCUGGUAGUCCACGCUGUAAACGAU